AAGAGCACCUAUUAUGGGAUACACGUUUUUAAACAUCCUUUUGUGUGUAAGUGUGCAUUAGUACAUGCUAACGAUAUUCAAAAAGUACAUACCUCAAAGAAAACGAUGACGCGAGUUAUCGUCUCUAACGUUCGAGGACUACAAAAAACACUCGGAUUGUAGGCAACAGUUUACUUCCUGGGAUUAGUGACGUAGAUAAGACCAACAUUAUCAUAGUUCAGCCCUCUCUGCUUUGCUUGGGUACGCCCUCAAAGACGGGGGUGGGGAGCGCCGAGUCAGAAGAGAGCUAAAAUGGCGGAGGUUGUGAGUCCCUGCUUUGACUCUGUUUGCAAACUCUUGUUUCAUUGUUUAAGCGAUUAAAUCUCUCGAGUAGACGCUGUCUCUUUAGAUGCGAGGGCAAAAUAGCACUUUAUGGACUUCCACAGAGGACAUCGUGUUUAAUACGGUUCCGGAAAAAUCCAGUCAGAAGUUGUUCACGGAGUUUUCACAAUAACUGCUUCUCAUGAACCGAAGCUGGAUUUGCGCAACGUCUCCUCUUGAAAGUUGGAUUACUGUGCACUUCUGGAUCACAGGCUGUAAGUAUUCACGUUUAUUAUUUGCCUUUUACUGUACAUUACGUAACCGGUAACCGGAGAUUAACAUAAUGUGCGUGUAGAGCUAAGCUUGCAAGCUAAUUGUUUUGUGUUGUAAUACUGUAUUUCAUAAACAACGUACCAUAUUUACACACGUGUAUGUUGAAUUAUGCAGACUAUCGCUUUUUUAUCGAUGUUGGUUUAGACAUGUUUACAAACUUGCUAAGUUGCUAAGCUAAAUACAAAUACAAAUGCCAGCUAAACUGUUACCGGUAAAAUUUGUUCUCAUGAUCAAACUAAAGAAACUCUAAGUACAGAUGAUUUGUUUAAAGUUAUAUGUAUUUACUGUUGUAUUUACUUGAAGCUUUCUUAGAUUUUGAAACGAAGUAAACAUGUAAUGUGUGUUGCUAAUGUUGGGCCAUGUAAUAUGUAAUACAUUUACGUUUUAAUGAAUAGUCUAACGAUUUAUAGUCGUUGUACUCUAUUGUUAUAAUAUGUCUUUUUGACUGAAUACAUGUUUGUUUUAUUUGUCUAUAUCCUAGAUUCGCAGCUGGACACAUCCUUCUACACUGUAUGCAAACAUGCAACAUCAUUACACACAGUACAAGGAGUCAGACUGGCAUAUGAGGAGCAAAGGAACCCAGGCAGUAGCAUCGUUUCACAAUGUUUCCAUCACCAUCAUCAGUGGAUGCCUUUGCCGUCCGUAGCCUGAGAUUUCAGAUUUGCAGCAAAAAAAUUUUUAUUUUCUCAUUUAUUGGAAUGCUGUGCAGGUAUUUGUACGUUGCAGCCAUCCAUUACAAUGUCACCAAGCCGUAACAAAAGCAGGAGAGGGAAAGUACAAGGCUAUGUUCCCAAAACACACAAGUGACAUACCUUAUGUGGAGGAUGUGAUCAGGCUUGUGUUUGAUGAGGUUUUGAAGAUAAGCUGAGGGAAACCCCGAUUCCAAUGGACCUGGCAUCACAGUUUGAGAGACCUUCAAAGGAGGACGUGAUUGCAUGCCAUCUUCAGUGCAGGGGUCGUCGAAAGCCAAAAUUGUGACCGAUCUGAUCAGGAAGCUCCAAGCGUAUCUGGAGAACAACACACGACAGGAUGAUAACCUUAUAGUGUCGUCUUAAAUAGCACCAGCUGACAAAGCUUUG